rnacentral:rRNA from 1 species
CCUAAGGUAGCGAAAUUCCUUGUCGGGUAAGUUCCGACCUGCACGAAUGGCGUAACGAUGGCGGCGCUGUCUCCACCCGAGACUCAGUGAAAUUGAAAUCGCUGUGAAGAUGCAGUGUAUCCGCGGCUAGACGGAAAGACCCCGUGAACCUUUACUGUAGCUUUGCACUGGACUUUGAGCCUGCUUGUGUAGGAUAGGUGGGAGGCUUUGAAGCGUGGACGCCAGUUCGCGUGGAGCCAUCCUUGAAAUACCACCCUGGCAUGCUUGAGGUUCUAACUCUGGUCCGUAAUCCGGAUCGAGGACAGUGUAUGGUGGGCAGUUUGACUGGGGCGGUCUCCUCCUAAAGAGUAACGGAGGAGUACGAAGGUGCGCUCAGACCGGUCGGAAAUCGGUCGCAGAGUAUAAAGGCAAAAGCGCGCUUGACUGCGAGACAGACACGUCGAGCAGGUACGAAAGUAGGUCUUAGUGAUCCGGUGGUUCUGUAUGGAAGGGCCAUCGCUCAACGGAUAAAAGGUACUCCGGGGAUAACAGGCUGAUACCGCCCAAGAGUUCAUAUCGACGGCGGUGUUUGGCACCUCGAUGUCGGCUCAUCACAUCCUGGGGCUGAAGCCGGUCCCAAGGGUAUGGCUGUUCGCCAUUUAAAGUGGUACGCGAGCUGGGUUUAGAACGUCGUGAGACAGUUCGGUCCCUAUCUGCCGUGGACGUUUGAGAUUUGAGAGGGGCUGCUCCUAGUACGAGAGGACCGGAGUGGACGAACCUCUGGUGUUCCGGUUGUCACGCCAGUGGCAUUGCCGGGUAGCUAUGUUCGGAAAAGAUAACCGCUGAAAGCAUCUAAGCGGGAAACUUGCCUCAAGAUGAGAUCUCACUGGGAACUUGAUUCCCCUGAAGGGCCGUCGAAGACUACGACGUUGAUAGGCUGGGUGUGUAAGCGUUGUGAGGCGUUGAGCUAACCAGUACUAAUUGCCCGUGAGGCUUGACCAU